CUGAGUAUACGCAGCUGCGUAA
rnacentral:misc_RNA from 1 species